GGCUCACGGAAGCAGCAAAGAGAGUCUUUCCAACAUUUGUUCCCAACCUUGAAAACACUGCUAAGGGCAAGAAGCCAGACACAGAGGCCACAUAUUGUAGGAAUCCAUUUAUAAGACGUUUCGUAGAGAUCACAAAUUGAUCAGACAUGAAACAGCCUCAGGGUCACUUCCCAAAGUAAACACCAGGACCCACGCUGUUGCCUCAGGACUUGCUUCCCAGGGAGAGGACCCAGUCUACCAGAAAGCCUGAGGUUGACAGAAAGCAAACCGGAUGGGAGGAGGAGAGUCACUGACGUUUUCCUCACCUCGGCAUUCGAUGCUACCACAGCCAGGGGCCACCGUUCCUGUGGCGGAAUCUACGGUUCCUCCCCUCCCCCACCGGCCCUGCCCCCAGAGGUUCCCGUCCUUGUCUCCUGAGUCCCGCGGCCACACGAGUGAAAGGGAUUGCAGGAUCACUGAAGAGGAGGUGGGCAACAGGAAGAGUAUGCCACUCUGGACAGAUUCAUGAAGAUUCUUAAUGUACAACCAAUAAAUCAAGUUGCUUUUGCUCCUCACCACCACUUUCAGAAGUGUUCGCACACCAGUCUAUCCCACACAGAAUCAGCAACACCAGUGUAUUCAUGUCAGUCCUGUACUCAGAAACUUCAAUGUUUCCCCCACUUGCACUCAGCAAUGUCCAGUUUGUUUCCAGCCCUCUGCUGCUUCCCUGUCUUUCUCAUGCUAUACUAGUCCCAAUUCGGUGCUUUCCACUGAGACUCUCCUCUGAAACUGUUGUGCCUUUUGCUUCUAUCUGCAAUGUCCUUGUCUCGGUCAACCCAGGUGUCUGUGAACUCCCUCUCCUCUAGAGUCCCUGUAUCUCCUGU